rnacentral:rRNA from 1 species
CGUAAAACGAUGAAUGCUAGGUGUGGGGCAGAAAUGUUCCGUGCCGGAGUUAACACAAUAAGCAUUCCACCUGGGGAGUACGGCCGCAAGGUUGAAACUCAAAGGAAUUGACGGGAGCCCGCACAAGCAGUGGAGUAUGUGGUUUAAUUCGACGCAACGCGAAGAACCUUACCAGGGCUUGACAUCCACGGAAGACCGGGUAAAGCCGGUUGUGCCCCUUCGGGGGAACCGUGAGACAGGUGGUGCAUGGUUGUCGUCAGCUCGUGUCGUGAGAUGUUGGGUUAAGUCCCGCAACGAGCGCAACCCUUACGGUUAGUUGCUACGCAAGAGCACUCUAACAGGACUGCCGUUGACAAAACGGAGGAAGGUGGGGAUGACGUCAAAUCAUCAUGCCCUUUACGUUCUGGGCUACACACGUACUACAAUGGCGUAAACAAAAGGAAGCGAAGCGGUGACGCGGAGCAAAUCCCAAAAAGACGCCCCAGUUCAGAUUGCAGGCUGCAACUCGCCUGCAUGAAGUCGGAAUUGCUAGUAAUCGUAAAUCAGCAUGUUACGGUGAAUACGUUCCCGGGCUUUGUACACACCGCCCGUCAGGCCAUGAGAGUCGGGGGGACCCGAAGUCUGUGUCCCAACCGCAAGGAAGGAGCAGCCGAAGGUAAGCCCGAUGAUUGGGGUUAAGUCGUAACAAGGUAACCGUA